rfam:Piscirickettsia salmonis strain PM15972A1, complete genome.
GGAGGGAUGGCAGAGCGGUUGAAUGCACCGGUCUUGAAAACCGGCAAGGGUUAAUAGCCCUUCCAGGGUUCGAAUCCCUGUCCCUCCG